GUCUACAGCCAUGCUGCCCUGAACAAGCCCAAUGUCUGAUCUCGGAAGCUAAGCAGGGUCAGACCUGGUUAGUACUUGGAUGGGAGACCACCUAGGAAGACCUGGUGCUGUAGGUG
rnacentral:rRNA from 1 species